UACGUAGGUGGCAAGCGUUGUCCGGAUUUAUUGGGCGUAAAGCGCGCGCAGGUGGUUCGUUGCGUCCGAGGUGAAAUCUCCCGGCUCAACUGGGAGGGGUCUUCGGAUACGGGCGGACUUGAGGAGAGCAGAGGUAGGCGGAAUGCUGGGUGUAGUGGUGAAAUGCGUAGAUAUCCAGCGGAACACCAGUGGCGAAGGCGGCCUACUGGGCUCCACCUGACACUGAGGCGCGAAAGCUAGGGGAGCAAACGGG
rnacentral:rRNA from 1 species